GUGUUAGCUCAGCUGGUUAGACUGUAGUGCUAAUAAUGCCAAGGUCAAGGGUUCAGUCCUCUUAUGGGCCA